UACAGAGGGGGCAAGCGUUGUUCGGAAUUACUGGGCGUAAAGGGCGCGUAGGCGGCCUUCUAAGUCGAACGUGAAAUCCCCGGGCUCAACCCGGGAACUGCGUCCGAUACUGGAAGGCUUGAAUCCGGGAGAGGGAUGUGGAAUUCCAGGUGUAGCGGUGAAAUGCGUAGAUAUCUGGAGGAACACCGGUGGCGGAGGCGACAUCCUGGACCGGUAUUGACGCUGAGGCGCGAAAGCCAGGGGAGCAAACGGG
rnacentral:rRNA from 1 species